AAUCCCAAGCCUGACACUAUUUCAAAGCACCUCACUGAAGCCCAGUUGCCUUGAUUUAUCUGCGAUCCAUAAGGAUACAGCCUCCGACAUUCCCCAGCGCCGACGGGCAGGGAUGCCUCCCACCAGACCAGGUUGCUCAAAGCCCCAGCCUGUUAAUGCACGUGAAACUAUUAUCCCCAAAGGAUUUGACCAUCAGAACUUUGGAGGAAAGGAAGAGAAGUUGAAACGUCCUUUUCUGGUAGGUGGUUUAGUAGCUCUGGAUUAUUAAAUUCGGAAAAGAGGAACACGGUAAGCGAUUCUAAAUGGUUACUGACAGCUUUGUGGUUUAUCAGGGUAACUCUCUGCGAAAAACUAGAUAAGAACUCUGUCAUAGUUUGACUCUUGUUCCUUUUUUUCCUCAGAACUCUUCUUUUUGGGUUUCUCAUGCCCACCAGCAGGUUCUCAUUCUCCUACAUCCGCUUUGUCUUCCUGCAGCGUCGCGGCUCUUGCGAACCUCCCCCCUCGAGCAACUGCAGCCCUGCAGAGGUGACUCAGGGCCACUCCUUGCUGCCCUGGUAGGAACUGAAAGUGAUAGUAAUGCUAAGCUUCACAAAUUCUGUGUCAUUUCCAGGAAAUAAUGAUCUUUCCAGCAAAGAACAAACGCUACAGGGGGCUACUCACAGUCUUACAGAGCCGUGCUUGUAUGGAAAGGAAUUUUUCUAUCCCAUGAGCAGGAAGACCCUCUCUCUGUUCUAUCCAGGGCCUCCUUACUGGUUUGAAGGGCUUUCUUCUGCUUCUGCUGUAGCUCUGGGAUGGAUUUUUUGGUGCUAAGCCACCCCUAGGGUGGGUAGUGCCAUCCCGUACAGGCUGCUGUGACCCCAGUGAGAUGCAGUGUGGUGGCACAGCUCCUCUGGCUGCACUGGGAGCUCCUGAAUGUAUCCCUCUCUGGAGCCACGUAUCCUACAGUUCUCAUCCUUUGCUCUCCUCUUGCUCCAAACAUUUCACUUGGAUGUGAUUCUUCCAGGUCACAACCCUGGGAAAUCGAUUUGCUUUCCCUCAACGUCUCUGGUAGGAUAUAGCCUCGUCCCAUCCAUCCCACUAGGACUUGAGGCCACAUUCUGCUGUUGGGAAAUGGGGUUUAAACUUGUUUGAAUUAGAAGUUAAGCAUUUUGAGCACAGAUACAGCUUGUUUGCAAGCCUGCUCGAUAUCCCACAUCAGGGCUGGAGAGGGAGAGAAGGUCCUGUGAUGCUUUAUCCGGGGUGAUACUGAAAAUUAAAUGUCAGCGCAGUUAUUCUAACUCUGUGGGCUUUUUGUCUUGAAUUUCGGUCCAGGCACCGGUUUCUCUUUUUGUGUCCUUUUAGAAAUCCCUUAUUUCAGUUUUCCAGCAUCCCUCCAGUACAGUGCUCUCUCUGCAGCCUUUGUGGGGCAGCGUGUGGGGUAAUUCCUGACCUGAACAGUGCUGUGUGUUUCCCCAUCCUUCCGAGGCGUGACUUGGGGGAUCUUAACGCUGAGAAGAAUUAAUUUUGGUUUCGUUUUCUCUCUCCUUGCCUUCCUUGUCACCAGCAGCCAUUCAAGUUACCCGACUUCUUGUUGAAUCCCUUCCCUUCAUCCUCUUGGCGUCUCCCAGUUACCUCCUGUACCCAGCGUAGAGCUCAGCGUAGUCCCUCCUUCGUCCUGAUCCGCAGGUAUUUUUGCUCUUCCCAGUUUGGGGUUGCUGCUCUGGUUCCAAACUGCCAAACUUAGUGACUUUAGAGCCUGGGGGUCAUCCUCGGAGGAGGGAAGCAGCUCAGGGUCAGCAGGGAAUGUCCUUAAACUGAUGCUGCUGCUCUUUACUUUGCCAUUCGAGCAUCCUCUGCUCACCCUGCCUCACCUUCCCCGGCCUCUGUUGGAGUAGCAGAAUCAAGACCUUUUAGAGGAGGGCAAGAAGGGAAAUGUGCUGUUGUCAAAUGGGAUUAUUAUGAUGAUUUUUUUUGAUGCAUGCAUUGAAAUUGAAUUUAUGCUGCCUGCCUUUACGUUACGCCGCUGUGGUGCCUCGGCCAGCCCUGCCACCAGUUGGGCAAUGGGAAGUGCUGGGCAGUGCCAGGGUAGGGUCCUGCGCUGUUUUCCAUCCUUGGGAAUAAAACAGGAGAUGGGCAGAGGGGUGGGCUGGCUGGAAAUUGCAGGAUAGAAGUGGUGCUAAAGGUUUAGAUAAGAGAAAUGCUCUUAAACGUAGUGUUUACCAGAGAGCCCAGUUUGCAAAGUUACUUAAGCUUGUGUGUAAUGGUUGAACUGGGUCUCUUCAAAGACAGGAGCUAUUGCCAAGGCAAAACCACUACAGCUAAAAUGGUGUAAAAUGAGGAAAAAAAAAAAAAAAUAUCCCUGCACAGAAGUACCAACUCCAUGGAUGUACAGAGGUGAGUGAGCUUGGGUUUAUUAUUUUAUUUUAAAUCUUGUCCAGCCAUGAAGAAAAUUAUGCCAUCAACUGCAAAAGGCCAGAAGAGUAUUAAUAACUGUUCUUUAGGGCAUGGUUUUUAGAUGCUAAAGUAGAUCCUCUCCUUAGAGGGUGUGUUGGUGACACGUAGCAAUACAUGUCCAGAGCCACCAGAGUGUUUGAAACGGCCGGGGGCCAGGAGGUAGCGUGUGGCACAUCAUCUAUUUUAGGCUUCACCAUCAUUUAAGCUGCUUUCUUUUUAUGAGGUAUUUUUAUCUGUCAUCAGCUAGUACCGUGUGGGUUUUUUUUUUCCCUUGUUCUAGUGACUCACUUCCAAAUCGAAGCAUUUGGCAGGAGCCAGCUCUACCCUGGCAGGUACCAAUCUUAAGUUAACUCUCAUCUUUUCUAUAGCCUUUGCCUUCUGUGGCUUUUUACAGGCGAUUGCAAGAGGGAAGGUGUUUGCUUCUCUAAAAAAAUAAUUUAAAAGGGGGGUUUAGGUGCCUGAAACGUGUUUAUUUUUUGGUUUUUUUUAAAAGGAGGAAACAUAAGGCAAGAACAGGUGAUUUGCCGACUGUGACUGGCAGUGGGUAUGAUGUAGCAAAAGAUAAUUUGAAAUAUUUCCUCGUUGUCUUGGUAAUUUUCUAAAACCUGAUUGCCUUAACUGUUUUCUGAAGGCUACAUCUUCUUUAACAUGCUGGAUGUGAAGGGUUCUCAUACAUACGUUUACAUUUUCGAGGACUGGGUCAUGUGAGAAUGUUUAUUAAAAGCUGUUUUAAGAUAUGACUUUGAUACCUGCUCCGUAGGGACUCUUUCAAGGUAAGAAGUUUUAUCUCCUAGAACUAUUUCAAUCCCACGGAUAUAAUUAAAGUUUUCAGCCUAAGGUUUAAAAAAAAAAAAAGUAAUAUAUAUAUAUAUAACAAUCUGGAGCUGUUAUUUUAAAAUUUGUAUUCUUGGCACUAUAAUUGAAGAAAAGUAGCAAGUGUAAAAAUAACCUCAAGUGACUGCUAUUUUUAUACGGGUGUGAACACUGUAGGAGUUUCAGACCAUGCUCUGAUCUUUCUUACAAAGAAAAAAAAAAAAGUGUUGGAACUGAUGUCAAGCUGUUAAAAUGAAUAAUUUUUUUACCUGACUGCUAGGAGACCUGGCUUGAGGCAUCUUUAAAGAGAAAGCUAAAUUUUUCCCAGCUUCUUUCCCAUCUUAAUUCUUCUAUUUUAGACAUAAAUUUUCCCCAUGACUCCUUAUAGAAUAAGUUUUGUGUUGGGUUUUUUUUGUCCCAGAGGAUGCUGUUGACUUGGGCCUGUUCUCUUAGAUGCUGGGCAGAUCUGUUUCUGAUUUAUUAGUAGUAUUAUUAUUAUUUCUAUCUGAACUAGUUAAAGGCAACAGAGGAAAUGAUUCUUUGCUACGUGCUUUUGUUCCCUACGGUUACCUGGUUAAAAUAGAACUUUAGAAAAUAGACCCUCAAGUUGUCCAUCCUCAUCGUGCAAAUAGGGCUUUAAUGGACAAACUGUGUAUUAAAAGAAGCCUGUUGUAUUUGACUCAAUUUACUUAUGGAAGUUAAAUGGUUCUUUUUUUUUGGUUUUCUUAAGGUAGAUUUCACCUUCUGGAUAAACACUAAGCAUCCUGUAUCAAUGACUUUUUAAGUGUUUUCCUUUUGUUCCGCUACUGUAAAGCAUGUUUUUCGUUUGUCUUCAACAGAUCUGUGCUAUGCCUAGUGCUCUGAGUGUGAUUUGAAACUAUCUUGAACACAAAUAAGCCUUUUUUUAAAUUGUUAUUAUUAUUAAUUAUUAUUAUUAUGAUAGAUGCCCCUCGAUCGGAGCGUGGCGCUUGCUUCCCCGGUGUUAAUGUCACUCUGUUGUACCAAAGUACCCGUGGCUUUCAAACAUACUGUCAAACCGGUGUCACUGGUGUCUGGGUUUGUGUAAAACAGCUGAGGAAUGUAUCCUGUGACUCAGUUUCUGCACUGUUAUUUUCCAGAAUAAAAGUACAUUUUUAAAGCUGGCCUCUCAGCUGGUUUUUGGGGCACAGCCUAAUUAGGCAGCUGAGGAGAAGAAGUGGAGGAGCAGGGAUCUUACAGGCUGGCAUCAACACCCAUCCUGCCCCGUGGCAGCUCAGUGGUGGCACCCUGACUUCAAAUUGAGCUGGUUUCCACUGAAAGAGGGAUGGGAGAGGACUGGCCACCAGCUCCUUGAGGAGGAAAAGGUACAAUUUACAAAACUCACCCUCUUAAAUGGUGAGAAUAACCUGCCUCGCCCCGCUGUUUAACGGGUGCCAAGCUUUUAUUUGCACCUUCAUCCUGGAGUGACACCAUGUGUGAAGAAUUUACCUCCAGUUUGGUAAGAAAAGGAACAAACUGAAACAGUACCUUUAUGCCUUAUUGAUGUAUCAACACUGUUCUUUAUUUCUCUUUUUUUCCUCCACAGGCUGCUCCGCCUGCACGUCGGGAGUUAGAAGCCAGACCAGGGAAGUGGCCCUUCCCUCUGUCCCAUACCUGAAACAUACUGUGUGACCACCUGAAAGGGCAGGACCGUGGCUCCAACUGCAGCUGAGGAAGUGGCAACUGUACCAACGUGCCAGGUUUAUUCUUCCAAGGGCAGCUCCGCAGGGCCCCUCCUGUGCCACGUUUCGGAGAGAGGCAACACCUGCUGAAGGUGCUUCGCAGUAACAAAGAGGCUGGAGGAGUCACAGUUUGCAGCACAAAGUCCUUAUGACAAAGAUCAUCUAUAACCAUGCCCAGGCUUCUGCAGAUACCCUUGGUUGAUGCGCUGAGCAUGCCCCAAUCUCAGAUGGAUGGCCACAUGGGAGUCAGGACCUUGGGCUACCACCAUCCCACCACCAGCUCCUAAGUUGGAAGCAGAGCUUCAGUUUUUCCUCUCCUCUAUAGAGAAGCUCUGGAAACUUUAGCUUUGGGUCGGCCGGACCAGAACUCCACUCUGUCCUUCAGCUCUUUAUUCUGCAAGGAAAAAAAUAAGAAUAAAAUAAACCCCUCUCAGCAUAACGUGGCAGACAAGGGACAAGCCUGGAUGCCAGCUCCUCCAGAAAGGUUUUUUGGGGGCUUGGGUGGAUUCUUUUUGUAGUUUUUGUUGGGAUUUUUAAGAAGAAAAUGAUUAAAAGAUGCAGUGCAAAAAAAUA